rnacentral:rRNA from 1 species
CCUACGGGAGGCAGCAGUGGGGGAUAUUGGUCAAUGGGCGCUACCCUGAUCCAGCGACGUAGCGUGAGUGAUGAAUUCCCUCUGUAUGGUAAGCUUCUUUUGUAUGGAAGUAAAAUUGACUGUGUCUGCUUCUUAUCCUCUGGCUUAAUACGUGCCAGCAGCUGCGGGCGUACGGAGGGGCUCAGUGUUAUCCGGAAUUAUGGGGUGUACCGGGUGCGUUGACGUUGAUGUAAGUCUGGUGUGAAAGGUGGGGGCUCAACACUAGGACUGCACUGGACACUAGGUGACUGGAGGACAGUAGAGGUAGGCGGAAUUCCUAGUGUAGCGGUGAAAUGCGUAGAUAUUAUGAGGAACGCCGGUGGUGAAGGCAGCUCGCUGGACUGUAACUGACGUGGAGGCUCGAAAGCGUGGGGAGCAAACAGGAUUAGAUACCCCGGUAGUC